rnacentral:rRNA from 1 species
AUUGAACGCUGGCGGCAGGCCUAACACAUGCAAGUCGAACGGUAACAGGAAACAGCUUGCUGUUUCGCUGACGAGUGGCGGACGGGCGAGUAAUGUCUGGGAAACUGCCUGAUGGAGGGGGAUAACUACUGGAAACGGUAGCUAAUACCGCAUAACGUCGCAAGACCAAAGAGGGGGACCUUCGGGCCUCUUGCCAUCGGAUGUGCCCAGAUGGGAUUAGCUAGUAGGUGGGGUAACGGCUCACCUAGGCGACGAUCCCUAGCUGGUCUGAGAGGAUGACCAGCCACACUGGAACUGAGACACGGUCCAGACUCCUACGGGAGGCAGCAGUGGGGAAUAUUGCACAAUGGGCGCAAGCCUGAUGCAGCCAUGCCGCGUGUAUGAAGAAGGCCUUCGGGUUGUAAAGUACUUUCAGCGGGGAUGAAGGGAGUAAAGUUAAUACCUUUGCUCAUUGACGUUACCCGCAGAAGAAGCACCGGCUAACUCCGUG